rnacentral:rRNA from 1 species
CCUACGGGAGGCAGCAGUGGGGGAUAUUGCACAAUGGGGGGAACCCUGAUGCAGCGACGCCGCGUGGGUGAAGAAGCGCCUCGGCGCGUAAAGCCCUGUCGGCAGGGAUGAAAAUGACGGUACCUGACAAAGAAGCCCCGGCUAACUACGUGCCAGCAGCCGCGGUAAUACGUAGGGGGCAAGCGUUAUCCGGAUUUACUGGGUGUAAAGGGGGCGCAGCCGGCGAUGCAGGCCAGGAGUGAAAGCCCGGGGCCCAACCCCGGGACUGCUCUUGGAACUGCGUGGCUGGAGUACAGGAGGGGCAGGCGGAAUUCCUGGUGUAGCGGUGAAAUGCGUAGAUAUUAGGAGGAACACCGGUGGCGAAGGCGGUCUGCUGGACUGUAACUGACGUUGAGGCCCGAAGGCGUGGGGAGCAAACAGGAUUAGAUACCCCUGUAGUC